rnacentral:rRNA from 1 species
AUGUCGGGGCGCGGUAAGGGAGGAAAGGGGCUCGGCAAGGGCGGGGCCAAGCGCCACCGGAAGGUGCUCCGGGACAACAUCCAGGGCAUCACCAAGCCGGCGAUCCGUCGUCUGGCGCGGCGGGGCGGCGUGAAGCGCAUCUCGGGGCUCAUCUACGAGGAGACCCGCGGCGUGCUCAAGAUCUUCCUCGAGAACGUCAUCCGCGACGCCGUCACCUACACCGAGCACGCCCGCCGCAAGACCGUCACUGCCAUGGACGUCGUCUACGCGCUCAAGCGCCAGGGCCGCACCCUCUACGGCUUCGGCGGCUAG